ensembl:processed_transcript Gm12348 predicted gene 12348
GUACAGAGCCAUCCUUUGGCCCCGGGAAGAGGCCUUCUGUCCCCAGUCCUAUCCUCUAAAAGCUCCAGCUUUUCGUUUCUGUCCUAACUUUCCUGGGGUUGAGUCUCCACCCAGGGCCAACUAGGGGAGAAGGCUGCGAAGAACUCACACUCCUUGCAGACCAGGUCCUUCAGCCCCUGCCCACGGAUGUUGGGGGAGGGGCUUGUUCGGCAUGAUCCCCUUCAAGGCCAGAUCUGUAGAGACACUAGCAGCCUGAAGACCCUGGAAGUCUCUGGAUCCCCUGCUGGAGGAGUCCUCACUUCAGCUAGAGCUGG